AGAGUUUGAUCAUGGCUCAGGAUGAACGCUGGCGGCGUGCUUAACACAUGCAAGUCGAACGAGAGAAGAUUAGUGCUUGCGCUGAUCCGAUCGAGUGGCGGACGGGUGAGUAACACGUAAGCAACCUGCCUAUCAGAGGGGAACAACAGUUAGAAAUGACUGCUAAUACCGCAUAUGCCUUAGAAUCACAUGGUUCAAAAGGGAAGGAGCAAUCCGCUGAUAGAUGGGCUUGCGUCUGAUUAGCUAGUUGGUGGGGUAACGGCCUACCAAGGCGACGAUCAGUAGCCGAACUGAGAGGUUGAACGGCCACAUUGGGACUGAGAUACGGCCCAGACUCUACGGGAGGCA
rnacentral:rRNA from 1 species